ACAAUAUGAUCCUAUAUUAUGUCAGGGUUCUUUGUUUGUUUAUUUUUUUGGAUACCCAGAGCGCUAUUCCAAGGCACAACUAAUUUUAUAUCUUGUGUGCGGUUGGAGGGGGGAGGGCAUGCAUGGGGGGCUAUAAUUAUCAGUGACAUUUAUGAUGAGAUGAAAAGAUCCAUGAAUUGACACCCCAAAAUCAAUUCAGGGAAAAUUAUUGUUGUUCAUCUAAAGGCCAUGCAUAGCUUCAUAGCUACUGAGCUACACACACAUUGAUUUCUUCCACAUGAUAAUGAACUAAUUUAGUUACAUGUUGGUGUGGGUGAGAGGGUGGGGACGGUGGUGGGCACAUGCUUUGAUCAACAUAUUGAUCUUGCAUAAUAGUUGAUUUCAUGAUGAGAGGGAAAAGGAUCCAUGGCCAUGCUCAAACUCAAUGCGUAGGGGGCAAAAUUAUUCUGUCACCUUCAUUCAUAGGCCAUGUACAUUUGCGUGCUCUUUAUUUCACCAUAAAGAUAAACAGUGCUGCAAGAAUAUCGCCUCCUUAUUGCCUUCAUUAUUUUUGGAAAUUUUGUGUGGACUUGAACUUAGGACAAUUAGCUAUAAAUAUCUCUCGACUAUUACUAGACAUGCUUUUAGGAAGUUUGGUCACGAUCAACAAUUAUGUAGAUGUACCAUUACUCACAGGCAAUGGCGGUCGCAGAACAGAAAUUUAUGGAGGGCCGAAAAAUCUACAGGACGAAAUCAAGCAAGAUCGUAAAAAACUAGUGUUGCAUAGGAUUCAAGUUUCAUAUCAAUAUAUAAGACAAAUUUAAAGAAGAAAACUAUAUAAACAAAAGAAGCAAAUAAACCUCUAAAUUUUUGCUGACAGAAUAAAAACCAUAUGUAACUUGCCAAAUAUCGAUGUCAUUGAAGGGCGGGGGCGCCAGGAAAGGGGCCGCGUCAAACGAUGUCUCUGGCUAAGAGCUAGUACAGGAGUUGGGAGGACUGGACCGAACCGAUGAAGAGACCUAGGACAUAACUGUUUUAGCCCACUCACAUAUUCAAUUUUUUCUACACAUAAUAGUAAAUGACAUUUGUAUAAAAGGUCAUAAGAAUUUGAGCGGGGCAUGGCCCUUUUUGCCUCCCCUCUUUAUCCACCCCUGCUCGCAGGCUCCAAACCUUCAUGGACCCUGGUUAGCUCUCUGCACCCCCUCGGUCAUUCUCUUGCACCUCUGAGUGUAAUAUUCUAUAAACAAAACCAUAACCAUAAACGAAUAAUGGUAUGUCAUAUGGACGACCAAAUAUUGUAGAUGCAUAUAGCUCAUCGAGGUGAUUUUGAUUGAUUGUUCACUUGUUCCUCUUGGAUUCCAGAUAAGCUUUUUGAGUGCUAGGUGAUCUGAGCAGUCUUUUUCUCCAUUCCUCCUGGCAGUCACCGCCCUACUUUCUCCCAUGCAUCUAAAGCCGCACCUCCUAUUUCUUCCUCCUUGUGGUCAUGUCUCCUCCCCCCUCUCCCUCUUUCCUCCCCACCACAAGAAACCCUAGCCACCCUCUAUCCCCCACCAUUGCAACCUUUGGCAUUGCAGUCUUCCUCUCCCUCGUCCACUCUUGCACAAUGGUACCUAUAUCUUUUCCCUACAACGACCUCCCUGCAAUGGAACUCUCAAUCCAAGGGAUUGAAGUACAAGAGAAGGAAGGAUUCAUGAUAAAAUCGAUUGUUCGUUGUAAUCUCAACACUAGGCAUAGUUUAAAAUCUCAGAUGAGUCGGUUGAGAAUUUGCUAAUCUCAUGAACAUAAAACUUGUAGGUAUUGUUGUUAUCAUAUGUCAAAUGUUUUUGGUUUUGUUCCAAUUUGAUUAGCAGUUUAGUAGUAAUCACAGAAACAAUGUUGUUGUUGUCCUAAAAAUGAAAAUAGAUUUGAGUACAAAGCUUAUUCUAAUUUUUGGAGAUUAUUCGUGUAGAUCAUGGCAAACAACAUGCAUCUUAACAUCACAACGUACAAAAUAUAUUUGCCAUGGAGCCACACCAGGGGACAAAACUCAGAGUGUUGUUCAUCAGUUCUCAGUGGAAGCUUUAUGUGCUUGCAUGGUCUCCAACUAUAGAACGAGGAGCAAGAACGAUUGCCACGAAGCACAAUAUGCUUGUACAAAUGCAUCUGUUAUAUGUCAUAACUUUGUGUCAGUUUUCUUUUGUUUUAGGAUAUUUAAAGCAUGAGAGUACAUAUGUUGGUCUGUGUGUGGGUCAGGGUGGGCAUGCUUUGAUCUGGCAUAUAUAUUGAUCUUCAUAAGUCAUGUCGUCACAGCUACACAAUAGUGGGUGUAAGUCAGUAAAUGACUUCCGUGAAAUCCUUAGUUCCUUCCUUAAUUUUGGAUAAUUUGGAUGAACUUCACACAAUUAGGUAUAAAUACAUCUCAAUGGUUAUUGUGCGUACUUUUGGAAUUUGGGUUGGUGAACUGCUAUGGAGAGCUACCAAUGAUUCCACAAUAUAUAAAGUGAUUACUAGAUACUAAUAUCAAAACAAAGAAAAAUUUAACUUCAAGAGUACAAGCAGCCUUUAGUUGUUACCAUUUGGCCAUCUAUUUUGUUUUCCUGGAUGAAACUUUACGGGUGAAACCUAUCUUGAGGUUAUCGUGAACUCAUGAGAAUUAGAAGGUUGUGGAGGGCAGACGAACAGAGCAGCUGAGCGGAUGGGACAAUUUGCUGGAUGAUGUGCGUAAAACUAUCACUAGCUGAGUAAACAAAACAUAGGAAAGCUUGUUCCUAAUGACUCUCGUGCCCAAUUUCUCAUCAAUCUAUACGCAGUGCAUGUCAAAUCCUCCCAUGGUCUGUGUUGUAUGUCAUACAUCUUUGCCUCAAUGUUUUUGUUGGUUUAUCCAAAACUGCUACAAUGAGGCACAAUGUGUGAACAUGCUUGAUCUCUUCAAAGACCAUAUAUAUACUUUGAUCUGCAUAUGCGGUUCAUGGUGCCAUAUACAUAAUAUAACGUCAGAAGUACUUUCACGCCUUGAUGACUGAUGAGGGGCAUGGAGAAAGGACAUGCAUAUGGUUGUGGCAGCUCGAUAUUGAAUAGAAAUGACGAAUUUAAGUCAAAAUUAAUUUACACACCAUAUAGAGUUUUGAUAGAGUUGAAAACAGAUAUGGGAUGGCUGAUAUCUGUCAUAUUUCAGAUAUCCGAAUAUCUUUUCGGAUAUAACUUCCCAGAUAUUUGGAUAGAAGUGUGCAUUUUGAUGAUUUUAUGAAGAAAAUUAACAAUGCACAAAUAGCCUCAACAUUUCAUGACAUUUUACAAAGACGCAACAUAUGUCCAUAUAUAAUCCUCAAAAAUGUUUGGACCAAAAAAUCUACAAGAUGCCAUUAUUUCUUCCAUUUUACUUUAACUGACUGCGCAAGUUCAUGUGAAAUCACUCUAAGUAUCCAAAUCUGAACAUAAUCAAUACUUCACUUUAUCAUUUUCAUGCGGGGCCUGAGGUUAUCUUAUUAUAGAAUGUUUAUUAGUUAUGGUAACUUAAUUUCAUUUUUUGUCGACACUAAAAUAUUUUAUGAUUUAAUCGUUUUUAUGUUUUUAUGUUUUUCUGUAGAAAGAAAUUAAUAAUACACAAAUAGUCUUAGAAACUCAUGAAAUUUUACGGAGGCUCAACAUAUGUCCACAUAUAAUCCUAAAAAAUGGUUGGACCAUAAAAUCCAAAUGAUACCAUCAUUUCUUCUAUUUUCACUUUUACUUUUUGCAUAAUUUACACGUGAAAUCACUCUAUGUACCCAAAUUUCAACAUAAUUAAUACUUCACUUUAUCAUUUUUAUAUGUGAACUUGAGGUUAUCUUCUUAUAGAAUACUUAUUACUCUUGAUAACUUAUUUGCAUUUUUUGGUCGCUACUAGACUUUUUUAUAAAUUUAAUUGUAUUUUAAUGAUUUUCUAUAGAAAGAAAAUAAUAAUACAUAAAUAGCCUAAGAAAUUCAUGAAAUUAUAUGGAGGCACAACAUAAGUCCAUAUAUAAUCCUAAAAAUGUUUAGACCAUAAAAUCCAUAAGAUGCCAAUGUUUCUUUUAUUUCACUUCCACUUAUUACGUGAGUUGCACGUGAAAUCACUUUAUGUAUCCAAGUUUCAACAUAACCAAUACUUCUCUUUAUCGUUUUCAUAUGGAGUCUUGAGGUUAUCUUCUUAUAUAAUGUUUAUUGGCCUUCGUAACUUAUUUGUAAUUUUUAGUCAACACUAGAAUAGUUUUAUGCAUUUUGAUGAUUUUUUGAAGAAAGAAAAAUAAUAACACACAAAUAGCCUCAGAAAAUCAUAAAAUUUUAUAUGAGGCACAACAUAUGUCCACAUAUAAUCUUAAAAAUGUUCGGACCAUAAAAUUCACAAGAUGCCAGCGAUUCUUCCAUUUCACUUUCACUUGUUGUGUAAGUUACACGUGAAAUCACUCUAAGUAUCUAAGUUUUAACAUAACCAAUUAUUCACUUUAUCAUUUUCAUGUGGGGACUUGUGGUUAUCUACUUAUAUAAUGUUAUUAGUCUUGGUAACUUAUUUGCAAUUUUUGGUCCGCACUAGAAAAGUUAUGAACUUAAUUGCAUUUUGAUGAUGUUCUACAGAAAGAAAUUAAUAAUACAUAAUAGCCUUAGAAAUUCAUGAAAUUUAAUGGAGGUGCACCAUAUGUCCACAUAUAAUCCUAAAAAAAUUGGACUCAAGGAGUGGCUAUUUGGCUAAAUUAUUACAACAACCAUGGCAUGUGUGAAAUGGUGUCUUACACGGUAUCCGACAAAAAAUAUGUUACCAACGCUAUCCGUGUCCGACUAUUUCCAUAUUCGAUACACAACUAUUUGUAUUUGCAUCUAAAAACAUCCGUAUCCGAUCUGAUUACACCCCUACAUGAUACUGGUAGUUUGGAAGUGGUGGCACUGCACUUCUUUGCUUAUUUUAGAUGGUCCAUUAAUGAUAGAGUUGAUUUUUAACAACAUUUUUUAUACAGAUGAAGUUAACUUGAUUAAACGAGAUAUGCACUGUUUAUAAAAGAUAUCUGACUAGUUUUAACUGUGCUUUUAAUAAUCAAAGAUAAUUUGAGAUAAUCUAACUUAGAUAGUUCACUAAAAUAUCUUGUGCACCUACUUUUUAAUUAAAAUAACUAGCAUGUAGUUUUUUAUGUGCUCAAUAAUAUAAAUAAUCGGUUAAGUAUAUUUUUAGCGUUUUUCGCUCAUGUGACCCUAGUGAUGAGCUUCUCCUCUGCAUUUGUCUUUAUAAAUAUUUUCUCUCUUAUUUGGUACAAUUUUUUAAGUAUGCUUGUAUGUUGUCCGAGUUAAAUGCUUGUUAUGAUGGGACACGAGUUGUCUGAGUCUCAGAGACCAGUGCGAAGCUUUAGAGACCAUAGGUCCGUUUGGGAGCGGUGAAGUUCCAUUUGUUCAAGAUGUGAAACUCAAGACUUCCUUAGCAGUGUCUACUUUAGAAAUAAGGAAAUGACAAUUAAAUCCAAAAUUAGGAUUUUGUGGUGUUAUAGCUGCCAAAUGAAAAACUCAGAGAUCGUGCUCAUAUGAGUUAGAACAAUAUGCAUUCAACUGAGCCCGAUUCCAAGACAUGACGGUACAGAUUGUGUGGUCGCGAAAAGAAUUUAUCUAAGUAAACGUCCAACAAAUUGUAUGUUCUGUUAUAGAGGCAUGCAUGUUUGCUACCUAUAUUUGCAUAUAUAAUGUUUUGUAGCGAAAAUUUCUCUCCACAAGUUUCCAACCUUCGACCUAUCCCACCGCACCUUGUUCUUCCCCAUGUAUAUAUCAGUCCUACUGUUCACAUGUUUCUAACACCCUGUUUGGAUGUAGAUAUUAGAGUACAUAAUUGGGAAUUGGAAUCAGCUUUCCUGAAUUCUAUCGUUUGAUUGCACAUAGAAUUGAGAUUUGGAAUCAGAGACCCAAUUCACUAGAAUUAGACUAUAACUAGAAACUUACUCUCCUAAUACAGAGCAUCAUCUCUUUGUAUUGUGUGGACGUCAUUUCAAUACCAUGGCUUAUUUGGUAUUGAAUCGAAUUCAAUUCCAUGCCCUCCAAUAUCAACAACCAAACAGAUCAUUGUGAGACCGUGAUUAUAUUCAUAUAUAAUAAGACCAAUGCAAUGCAAAUCCAAUACAAGAUGAAGUUUUGAACAACAUGCAUCUAGCCACAGGUUAGAGUCCUAUUCUAGUAUGUAUCACUGAAGAACAUAUGCCAUGAUUGUUGCAUAAAUAUUCGGUUGCAUGACAUUGUAACCUGCAACUUACAAACAUUGUUUGCUAGUAAUGAAAACUAUAUAACAGAAAAGUAAGCCAAAGUAUCUUAGCUAGCAGGAGCCAGUUUGUAGAUAGGAGUGUGGAUGCAUGCACUCAUUUGUUCAUUUCUUCUGUGAGUCCACGGUCCAGGAGGCUUGAGUCGUCACACCAAUUGUUAAAACUAGAAUAAACUGUUCAUUUGUCUAAGGGAUUGCUUGCUUACAGCCAGAACAUAGGGUGAUGAUGAAAUUUUGUUCCUGUUGACUCUAAUGCCCAAUUGAUUAUUCACCCUUGGAUGUGUUAUACUUGCAUAUCCUCAUAUUGUGGAACAAGAACCAAGAACGUUGGACACAACAAAGCACAAUCUGCUCCUAUGACCUAAGUGCCUGUUAUAUGUCAUCUGUCUUUAUGUUAGGGUUCUUUGUUUGUUUGUUUUGGGAUACCAAGAGCGCUUUUCUAGGGCACAACUAAUUGUGUAACAUCAAAUCAUACACAUCAAUGGAGCCAUUCUUUGGGACAAAUCUCAGAGUUUAGUCCUGAUGACUCCCAUACCCAAUUGUUAUUCACCAGUUCUCAGUGGACGCUUUUAUGCUUGCAUGGUCUCCAAUUGCAGAACAAAGAGCAAGAAAAUUUGCCAUAAAGCACAAUAUGCUCAUGCAAAUGCCUAUGUUAUAUGUCAUCGCUUGAUGUUAGUUUUUCUUUUCUUUUUGGAUAUGCAAAGUGUGAGAGUAUGUAUGUUGGUAUAUGUGUGUGGGUUGGGUUGGGCAUGCUUUGAUCUGACAUAUAUAAUGAUCUUCAUGAGCCAUACCAUCAUUGCUACACAACGGUGGGUUUAAGUAAAUGGCUUUCAUGCAUGAUGAGAUAGAAAGGAUCCAUGGCCCAGCCCAAACUCAAUUUAGGGGAAAAAUCUGACUCUGUCAUAUAUAGGUCAUGUACAUUUAUAUACUUUUUAUUUCAUUGUGAAAUCCUUAGUUCCUUCAUUAUUUUUGGGUAAUCUGGAUGAACUUGAACUUCACAGAGCUGGGUAUAAAAUAUAUCUCAACAGUUAUGGUGCGUACUUUUGGAAUUCGUGUUGGUCAGCUACUAUACAGAGCGACGAAUGCUUUCACAACAAAGUGAUUACUAGAUACUAAUAUCGAAACAAAGAAAAUUAACUAUGAGAAUACAAGCAACCUUUCGUUGUGAACAUACCAUCCACUAUGUUUUUCACGAUGAAACUUUACGGGUGGAACCGAUCUUAAACGGUCAAUGAAAUCUUAGAAUAUCCAUGGUGAACUCAUGAGGGCAGAUGAAAAGAGAAGCCGAGCGGAUGCCACAAUUUGCUAGGUGAUGUACAUAGAACUUGGAAACAAGUGGAGAAAAGUCUGUUCCUAAUGACUCUCAUGCCCAAUUUCUUAUCAUCUUGUGUGCGGUGCAUGUCAAAUCCUCCCAUUGUCUAUGUUGUAUGUCAUACAUCUUUGCCUCAUGUUAUUUGGUUUGCCUACCCAAAACCGCUACUUUGAGGCACAAUGUGUGGACGCGCUAGCUUGAUCUACAUUUAAAAUUCAAAGACCUCAUAUAUAUAUAAAAGAAUAUUAGUAGCCCUGGGCUUCCAAUGAUAGAGGUGACACCGCCGCUCGCACGUCUGAACCGCCCCUUGUUCGGCUGAACCGGUAUGUGUGUAUAUAUAACGCCACAUGUACUUUCACGGCCUUGAUGGGGGACACGGAGAAAGGACAUGCGUAUGCUUGUUCGGUUGUGGCAGCUCAAUAUUGAGCAGAAAUGAACUCAAGUCAAAAUAAAAUUACACACCAUAUAGAUUUUGAUAGUAGAAGUUCAAAAACAGCUAGUAAACUACGUGCAUAUGCCUGUUCAAGCUUUCACCAAUCGCAUGAGACUGGUACUUUGGAACCGGCGGCAAAUGCACUUCUUUGCUUAUUUUAGAUGGUCCAUUAAUGAUAGAAUUGAGUUUUAACUACGGUUUUCUAUACAGUUAAAGUUAACUUGAUUCAAUGAGAUAUACAUUAUUUGUACAAGAAAUAUGACUGGUUUUAAUUAUGUUUCUAAUAACCAUAGAUAAUUUGAGCUAACCUACUCAGAUAACUCGCUGAAAUAUCUUGUACGUACGCCUACUUUUUAAUUAAAAUAAAUAUGACUGCUUCUAACAAGUCCUUGAAAUAUCCUUGUGGUUACCUUUGAUUUUGUAUUUCCAUCACUGGACUCUUCUGCACGGUUUUUCGUGUCGUAAAGCUGAAACCUCUACCGUACAUCCCUAAUUUGUGAAAACGUUCUGCAGGUGUUGUCUCUGUUUUUAUGAGCUGUUGAUUUGAAGCUGGCUAUGGAAAUUAAACUGAGUUCAGACAAGGACAAUAAUAGUAGUAGAAGGAAGAAGGUAGCAUCAAUUCUGUGUUCCCUCAAGCCAAAACUUCAAAAAAAAUAGGUAGAGUUGCUUUUGAGGUUACAGUUUUCGUCUAUGGCUUUAGUCCAGUUUCCUUUGGAUUGAAAUUUCCCGUUUCCUAUGUUUUUUCCGUGAAAAUGAACUGAUUUCUGCGAAAUUCAUAUAUGAUUCCUGUGAAAUUCUCGUGUUCCAAAAGAGGCCUUAGAUUCUUGUAUGAGUUGAUUGUAUUGUAUAUGAUAUAGGAAACAAAUUGUCCAAUACUGUAAUAAAUAAAUCGUGCAAUAUCAUGUGCCAUGUAAUAAACCAAAAAAAUAUUUUUUUGUUUUUUCAAUUCAUAAAUAUAGACGUGUCUGGACCAACGAUUUCAAGUCGUCCGAUUAAUCGGUCUAGUCGGUCAGGAAGCCACUAUUAGGCUUAACGACUCGAUUAGGUCUCCUAGUCGUUCGAUCGUCUGACUAAUCGUUACCUAGACGUGAUUAAUCACCUGACUUGGGAGACCCAGCGACCAGAUGAUGUUUAUUACUAAAUGGGUCUGCGGACUGCCGGCUUUGGGGUGUUGUGGAUGAAGCCUUGGGUGCAACGCAGAGUCUCCGGGGACGAAAUCUGCCUCGGGGUGUUGCUGCAUCUAAUGUUGGUACCUUCUCCGAGCCUAGGACCUAUGUUAGGAGGGCUAGGAAGCGACCAAGAAAUGCAUCUAUCCAAGAUUUACAACAAGAAGAUGACAGUGAUAAUGAAGAUGAUGACCCAAACCCACCUUAGGCUGAAGAUCCAACACCUACUGAAUCAGCAAGAGCAAUGGAGGAGGAAUCUCAAUCAUUUGGAGGGGCAGCUGAUGAUGAUGUAUUUCAUUUAGAUGAAGAUCUACUGCAUUAAGUCACUAGUAAGUUUGUAUUCAAUUUUGCUUAUUAAAUGGUUGUCUUGGUUGGUUCCUGUUCCAACAACCAUUAUCCAGUAUCUGACUAUCUGAGUAUCAAUUGUGCACCGUCCAUUUUCCAGUAUUAGUAAUUUAGUAUUCCAGUUUCAAUUCCAAAUUUCUAAUUGAAACUCUCUGGUUCUACUAGACUUGUGUAAGUUCUAAGUUCUGUUGUUCAUUGUUGUUGUCUGAUUGGUGAUUGGCUGAUUGCCUCUACUUAGUACUAAGUAUAGUAUAUAACUAUAUAUCUAUAGUUCAUUAGUUCUAUAGUCUAUAACUCUAUACAUAAUUAUAUAUAUAUAUAAUAUGUCCUGGUCCUGGAGAUAUACAUGACGAUUACAUGGAUGAUCAGGGGCGAUUAGGUCCGACAAGUCGUCGAGGUCAUCUCCCUAAUCACGAUUAAUCACCUGGUCGUCUAGUGGAACGACUAGACGACCAGAUGACUUGAAAUCAUUGGUCUAGACAAAAUACAUCUGUGAGAAGUCGCAAACAUGUUAUGUUUGUACUCUGUUUCUGUGGUAACCGUCAUCAGAGACGUGUAUAGAUAAUACAUGUCUGUGAUGACUUUUUUCAUGGACGUGUUAAGUGUCUCUAAUAACAAUAGUGGCGUAGCUAGGAUUUUAUCAUGAGGUAUAUCAUAAAAAAAUUAUGUAAGUAAUUUGGUAUAAUUUUUUUUCUUGAAUGCACAAAACAAUUGUACAUCAUUAUAUUAAGAAGAAAAGGAGUUUAGCCCAAAAUGGAUCAGAACAAAACAACAUACGAAACAACACAUGAACCAAAUUCGGUAUACAAUUUAGAAUAUAAAGAUAAGAAUAGCAUAUGAAAAUAUAGAUUUAACAUUUAACUCCAUAAGUACAUACAUUAGAAUACAAAUAUAAUAUAUAUAUAUAUCAGUUUUGUUUCUAGGCUUCAGUGGACUAGUGGUCCGGUGGGCCUGGUUAGGGCCACCCCGAACCACCCACGGGCUAUGCCACUAGAUAACAAGUUACCAUAGACACGGCUUCAGUGGACUAGCUCCGAACCCCGAACCAAGAAGGUGGCCCUGACACCGCACAAUUCUCAGAUCGAAACGACAUAGGUCCACUUUGAAUCAUGGCAGGCUAGUUUACGCCACUAUUAAAUUGGUCGUGCCUCGGACCGGCCCGCCAGACAUGGCUCAUUUCGUCAUCUAUAGUCCAGUACAUCCAUCAUCACAGUCCCUGAUCUCGCGAUCUUGGAAAAAAAGCAAGAGAAAAAACUUUAUCCCAUCUCACCCCCACACCAUAUACCUCACCGCACACCGUCUCUGCCUCUCUCACCAUAUCGUCGUCUGUCAUCUCUAGGGCAAAAUCGUAGGUGCACCGCGAGGUGUAGCCCACUACGCGCGAUCCAAACAGUGGAGUGCGCAUUUAGAUCCGCGUGAGGAGAACUACUGGAUCCUGCCGCACGUGAUAGGGAUCACAACAGUAAUCCAGAAAAUCCCUGUCGGCCAGAUACCAAAGGGAAUAAGUAUGUCACCGAUGGGAAUUAAUAAUCCUCGUCAGUAUUAGGCUAAUUCUUUUUGGUACAUGGCCGAUGUGGAGUGGUGUUAGCGAUUAAUUAAUUCCCGUCAACCACCAAAGAGAAUUAAUUAAUACCCGUCGGUCAUAUGUAGUCGACGACAUUUAAUACUAGACUGCGCUAACUCCCAUCGGUCCCGCCCUUGGAUGACAUGAAUUAUAAGUACGUAGAUAUUGCUUGUGGCCAACGGCAAUUAAGACAUUAUCCCCGCCGGCUUAGAUAGCUGACGAGAAUUACCCCACGAUCAAUAACUCUCGUUGGCUAUGGUCAAGUCGACGGGAGUUAUCCUCUGCUAUUGCAAACCAGCAGCCUAUUUUACUAAUUUCUCAUCUAAUCACACAAACAACAAGCUUAUAUUGUAUAUCAAUUCGCAUACAUCACAAACACCAUUCACAACUCACAUACAUCACAUCAUCAAAUAUUUCACAUUACAAAUUCUUCAAACACAUAGAAGCACAUAUUCAUUUCAAAUCACAACAACGAGACAAGUUAAGUAUUUUGUUCACAAAAACACAUAAAAUUCAGUUUAACACAUACCAUUCAUCAUCCAUACCUAAAGACGAACCCCAAGUUUAAAUAUAAAAAAGUAGCAUACAAUGGUUUAGGGACAACCACUUGGAUGGUUCGAGUUUUGGUCGCUGCCACCACCAGGAGGAGGGUACACAAAGUGGGACUCGACAAAAGUUGAUCUAGCUGGUUCAGUCCCACCCCCACCCGUUCCAGGCGUAGCCUAUGUAAGAAUGCAAAUAUCAAUAAGUUAAGUAUACAAAUGUAUAAAAUCAUAAGAAUAUUUCGAGAGUUACAAAAUGUAUCUGGUCUUCAGGUGCAGGUAGGGAUGAAAAUGGUAAUCUGAACUGUUAGGACAAAUUUUAUAUUUUAAAAUAGAUAUGUAUAAAAUUUGAUGGUGAUCUUGUCUUAUGUUCUCAAGCACAUUAUUAUAAAUAAGAAUAAAAUAUUACAUAAAUUAUUUUAUGUAUUAUUUGCUUCCUACAACAACAAAAAAAGUUGAAAAAAUACCAAAUUUGUUUUCGAAUCCAUACCGAAUUUUAUAUCUAUCAUUUGAGAAAAUAUAGGAUGAUUUUUAGGUUUAACUUUUAUGAAUCUUUACAAGCUCAAUGUUAUAAAUAAGAAUACAAAUCUGUAUAGUGCAUUAUAUAUCCUAUUUAUUCGCAAUCAAUGAAAAAUGACAAAAAACCUGAUUACCGAAUAAAUACCAUUUCCGGCCGUUUUCAUCCAUGGGUGCAGGUAUAUGUGUGGGGGUGAUGAUUGUUGCAUCCCUAGUCCCUAUUUAAUGGACAUUUAAUUAAGUUUAGAUAUAAUUCAAGUUUUUCUAUAAUAACUAGAUGAAAUUAUACAUUCGACAAUGUUAUAAUAGAAUUUGCUAAAGAUUAGCGUAUUUUACCAAUUUCUCAUCCAAUUCACACAAUAUAUCCAUCCACAUGCAUCACAAACACCAUUCACAACUCACUUACAUCACAUCAUCAAAUACUUCACAUUACCAAUUCCUCAAACAUACACAUAGAACCACAUAUUCAUUUCAAAUCACAACAAGACAAGUUAAGUGUUUUGUUCACCAAAACACAUAAAAUUUAGUUUAACACACCAUUCAUCGUUCAUAACCAAAGACGAACCACAAGUUCAAAUAUAAAAAUUAGGAUAUAAUGAUUUAGGGACAACCACUUGGAUGGUUUGAGCUUUGGUCGCUACCACCACCAAGCGGAGGGUACACGAAGAGGGACUCAACAAAAGUCGUUCUGGUUGUAUCAGUCCCACUCCCACCCGUUCCUGGCGUAGCCUAUGUAAGAAUGCAAAUAUCAACAAGUUAAGUAUACAAAUGUACAAAAACAUAAGAAUAUUUUGAGUUACAAAGCGUACAUGGUCUCUAGGUGCAGGUAUAUUUGUGGUGAUGUUGACUAUUGCAUCAUCGGUCCCUGUUUAAUGGACAUUUGCUUACGUUUAGAUACAAUUCAUGUUUUGCUAUAAUAACUAGAUGAAAUGAUAGGUUUGACAAUGUCAUAACAGAAUUUGCUAAAGAUUAGUGUACCUUAGCUAGUGUGGAUGUAAAUGGGAUCCAUUGUGGCGGCGGUGGUGGUAGUGGAAUAUCUGGUAAUGCCAUGCCAUGUUGCUGCAUUGACUAUUGAACAAAUGUGUUACUAUUGCAAUAUUUGAAUAUAUGAAUUUAGAUUUUGAAACAUCUAUACUUACUUGAAACUUAACUUUUUUAUGUUGCAUGCAAGCCAUCAAAUAUUCCCUUUGCUCUCUCAUCUCCUCACGCAACCUCAAAAUCUCCAACUUGUGUUUGUUCGGUUGACGAGAGCACGAGUUACGGGAUGAUGAUCCCGUCCUCUAAGCUCUCACCUCAGACGAGUCAAUCACUCCGUCAAAGAGUGUGUACCUACAAGUGAUUUCAAAAGUGUGCUUAGUGCAUGAUCGAUUUAGUAUCAACCGUGUAAUUUUAUAAGUUAGAACUAACUAUCGAUGUGUUUUCCCCACCACUAGCGUGCACCGCUGAUGGAUCCAACAGUGCAUGUCACAAAUCGAAGUCAGGGCCAUGAUACCGAACCAUAUCCUCCCCAUAUGACGCAUAUACACCAUUUAUAAACUUACCAAUCCAUAAUUUUUGAGAUUUCGAUUUUUUUAUAAUUUUGGACCAAAACUCAUCCGUCGAUCUGUGGUCGCCCAGCUACACAGCUGCUCGGUGUUACUAGGAUCAAGUCCUAGGGAUGGCAAUGGGUCAAGUGGAGCAAAAACUCGUCCAUGAUCGCACCCAUGAAGUCUACCUAAACCCGCCCGUGAUUGAACCCACGGGGGCAAUUUCAAGCCUACACCCAAACCCGUCGGGUUUCGAGUGGGUUUCGGAUCACCCAUGGGUUUUUACUCAGUAUACACUUUUAAACAAUAAUUUAGCUAUAAUCAAUUAAGUACCGACAAUAAUUGAGUUAUAUCUAUGGAUUUUAAGCCUUCUCGCGUUAAGCAGCAAUAAAACAUUUGAUGAAUCAUUAGCGAAGUUACUUGUUCAAAUAAUUAUUAUUGGAUCUUAAUCAUUUUUGUGCAAAAUAAAGAAUGAACCAAAUUUUAGGUCGGGUGCAGGUAACCCGCGGGGUGAAAUAGAAACCUGCACCCACACCCGCAAAACAUCAGGUCAAGUGCGGGUUGCACCCACGGAUUAAAAUCUUCACCUAUACCAACACCCAUUGGGUCGGGUACCCUUCGGGUUUCAUGUUUGUGAGUUAAAUUUCCAUCCCUAUCUAGUCCUUUGUAGUCUACCAUAAAAACCUCAAUGUCGCUAGGCUUUCGGCCACUCGUAGCUUCCUAUACAGACAAAAGACUUUAGUAAGUAAACAUACUAAUUGGUGAUCGACAUAGUUACAUCAAUCUUCCAUCCAUUUAGCUUUUCAGAGGUAGUAGACGUCAUCAAAAUUGUGGUUAAGAUUGGUGCCUCGACAUUAUCUGUGAUGCACUGAAGCUAUCUGAAAGCCAUCGGAAUCCCAACGUCGACACCAAGCAUGUUAUGCAUUUGCAAGGGCGACAUAAAUGGAACCAUCACCUGUACACAUAAGGUUACAUAUUAUAUCAAUCACAGUAAUUAACAAAAAGAGUAAAACAAAUUGAAUAACCUCAUGAUAUUAUUCCUCGUUGAGGUAUAUCUUUGAGGACCCUUCCUUUUGUUCAAGAGACCUUCUUGGCCUGAAUGCAAUUCAAAAUAAAGAUUUGUGAUCUGAAUUCUAGCAUAUAAUAUUACAUCCUUGACAAGCUUUUAUGCACUCUUUUGGAACACAAGUUCAGUGUGCCCCAUGUAAUCCAUGCCUUCAGACAACCGAAAAUGGAACAACAAUAUAAAGAAUACAAAUACAAGGUUAUAAGUCAUAGAAUAAGAACAUUAAGAAACAGAAUAAGACCAUUAAGAAACAGAAUAAAGACAAACCAAAAGUCAUGGCACACUAGUCCCUAUUUGUCAGUGUGGUCUCAUUCCUUUUCAACUUGUAUUCGUCCCAGUUACUGAUGAUCACCUCCUCCAUGCUAUCUUCAUUUGACACCUUCACUAGACCAAUGGGCACCAAACACAUGGUUAACCUGCAUAUGGUGUCCUUGGACGGUAAAGAAUAGGUCCUCCCAGUGCCUAGAUUACAGAAAAAAUAACAUUGCACAUAAAUAUAUAUGAGAUAAGUUAAAAUAUUACACCCACCGAUUUCUAAGAGGCUUGACUAAGGUCCUGUCGGCCUCUCGAUCUAUCGCGAGAGGAGGCUUCACUGUGUGGCUCUUCUUAGAGUGACAUGUGCAUGGCACUGUAGAGCCACCUAAAGCAACAUCCUGAGGCUCAUCAUUCCGGAUGGGGCCUCAUGCAACUGAUGCUGCCUCUGCUGCUCCCACUGGUCCCACGUUGUGUGUUGCUAUCUCGACAAAAACUAACGGAAGCCGAUGGGAUAUUCAGGAUUCUUGUUGUGGAUGGCACCACCACACACCUAACUCGACAUUGGUUUGGUUCGAUCCAUAGGCAUGCCGACUACCAUUGUGUGUGUUGACCCUGUUCUGGUCCUCGAUUGCCUUCCUUUGGUCCGAUCUAGAAAUCCAUGAGCUUAGAAUGUGUUUAAAUAAAUAUCUCAUUUAAGCAAGGUCUAUCUAUUUGAAAUAUAUAAACCAUAUAAAUGCAUGGGUGAAAUACCAAUAAGGUGACCAUAGGGGGGGCAAAUGGGAGCCAAUCAAAUUUCUGUUGCUAAAAACUAAAAUUGAGCACUUCACUUCAAUUGAGAUGAAGAAAGCGCUCAACCCAAAAUCACAUCAGAAAACCAGUGAUCUCAUGAUUUUAAAAUGUUGCUAAUACUCACACGAGACCAGAAAAAUGAACGGAUCACAAAUCAGACAUCGAAAAGUCCGAACCAGCCCAAAACUAUGUCGCUAUCUAGUGUUGAUUCCAGCAGUUCGAAAUUCAGUUCUUGAAUGUGAAACUAAAUUAAAUGGACUUCGAUUGAGAUGAAAUUUUAUGCACACCUUGACAAAUGUGUUUCCAAGGUCUCCACAAAAUUUGAACUCAAAUAGAUUUGUAAAUCAAUCACAGAUCUAGAAAUACGGACAAAAUUGGGGUUUUGUUGGGGUUUUCUCAAACGAACUCAAACUGAGAUUAACUUGGAUCACGACCAAGAACUGCACCAAGGGGGAGUAUGUAGAGAUCCAAAGAGUAUAUCGCAUCACCCAACAAUCCUCAAAAGAAUCUCCAACUCAAGAACUCGAAGGUUCUUCCACAGAUCUAAAAGAGAGAGAAAGGGAGAACGCAAGAACAAAAUGGACUCAAAACUUCAGCAAAGACAAAACUAAGUGAAUCGAGUCAAACCAACUUUGUGGAUGGAUCCAUCCACCCUUCCUUUGAAUAGAGCAGUGAAGAUUACAAACACAAAUGAGAGUUCAAAACAUAUGUGGAUCUCGGGCUGAACUAGGGAAUGAACGCUAGAGUUUUCAAAACAAGAGGCCAAUGUGUAAGACAAAGAGAUAGCUAAAACAAUGAGCCCACCCUUCUAUUUAUAGAGGGUUAUCACUUCUUUCUAAACUACCACUAGAUAAAUAGAGCCUAUCCACUUAGCCGAAGCCGAAAUGAACCAACUCCUGAGAUUUUGAUAUGACAGCCACAUGCUCCAUACGAAGUUGCUUCGCCUUAACGCACUCUUCACGAUGAUGCCAAGUGAUGCCUCUAAUUCCUGUCGGAACUGACACUGCCGAGUUUUGAGGCCCAAACUCUGCAAAACCCGCCAUCUGUAGCGCUGGGUUGUUUUACGAGGCUCAACCAGCAAACCACCGCGAGUAGCGCAACACAUGUGUGUCCCCCAUGUCCUGGACACAUGUCCUGCCAGUCCUCGACCACAUCGGCAAUACGACCCGCUCCACCACAUCCUCACGUGAGUGUGUGUCCCAGGUGUUAGCCACUAUGGCUGGUCACCCGACGACUCUGGUUCCUCGGUCAAGUCUCAGCGCUCGUCCUUCGCCGCUUCUGGUCCAUCGGCACAAGCCCGCAUGACUUUCACCUUCACCGCCGACCAUCAUCGUACUUGUGCUCCAUACUUGCACACCACAAGAUGAGAGACAUGGUUGCACACACAUAACUCACGCCUCAGUUAGUCUACGAGUCAACCCAAGACGCUACAUGUUGACAAUCACACAUCAUCAACCUGAACAAUAAGGAACAAAUCAACCUUGUUGUUGGGGGCCUUCUUCUCUCAGAGGUCCUCAAAACAUUAAGUUAACAGCUAAUACCUAGCUUAUUUUUCAGUGUUACAUGUACCUAUUGGGUACCCAUACCAAAAGCACCUUCGGAUGAAAUAACCAUAAACACAGGAAUGAAGGUACAAGCUUCGGGAUAGAAGCGCAUGUGUGCAAAUGACGAAUUCGGGUGAAGCCACAGCAGGUCUUCAAGAGUUUGUUCACCAAGAUAGCAUGAGAAUAAUACAUCAUUAUCCUCAUCAUGUUUAAUAGUUCGAAUGUAUAGGCUUGAGGACGCGAUUAUAAUUUUAUCGAAGCUAUACCCACGCCUUUAAAUAGAGGAACAAUGCCAUGCAUUUGGACAUCUUUCGGAUCGGAGAGGAGGUAGUUAGCUCCAUCUUUGAAGCUAUAACUUCUCCUUUGUCAUGUUAGCUUCGCAAAGCCUAAGGUAUAAAUGUAAUCUUUAAUCUAAUAUUGGAAAAGGUCAAAGGAAGUAAGCAACAUUUACAAUAUCGUAUCAUAUGUCUUGUGGUCAUUUCUCAUGCGCUUUACUUACUAUUCUAUUUACAUUUUCUUUAUUCACUUUAAUCACAUCUUCAUCUUUUACUUAACCUUCUUCAUGAAGAAGGAUAGGUCUAAAGAUUAAGAUGAACCUUAAUCUUAAUGUGUUACCUUGUUUUUGAUAUCCGAAGGAGUCAAAACAAGUGACAAACACUUGUGUUCGUAAUGGGCCUCUUACUAGUGUUAGUUAACAUGUCUGUAAUUAGCUUUUUUACAUAGUGCAUGUCCAAUAACUAUGGGAGCAUAUGAACCACCCACAGAAUAUAUACAGAUUCAGUAAUUGAUCCUUGCUUUUAAUCUUGUAUGCAUUUUGUGUAGUCUAGGUCUCAAUGCACUGAUAGAUAAGGAAUUGUAUCCUACUCUAAGGGGGUGUUUGAAUGCACUAGAGCUAAUAGUUUGUUGGCUAAAAAUGCUAGUAGAAUUAGCUAGCUAACUAUUAGCUAAUUUGUUGAAAGUAGCUUUCGGUGUUUCCAACCUCUACUCCGACAAGUAAAUUUCUAUGUGCGUGUUUUGGGCUCCGGACGGUGUGCUUGGUGGGCGCAAGGUUUAAGUCUUCGGUGGCUUGCGCUACCGGCAUCUUUUUUGCUAGGGGUUACAAGCGAGUUACAAGCAGGCGAGAGAUGGAGGAAAGGCUCCCAAGUCUCUUAAGUGGGAGUGGUCCUAAAGACUAAGGAACUGGAGUCCUACGCUAAGCCUUAGCUUCGGCCUCUAGGUCUUUAGGUUUCUCUGGGCGUGUGCGGUUGCCGUCUAUCAAGUAUCUUCAGUCUUGGGACUUCUUCGUGUGUCUGUGUCUCUCCGAUUCAUCCGGGUCUGUCUGUCUAGGCCCCUUGGUCUGUGGCCGACCUCCUCCUUUUAUAGGCCAAGGCGGGGGUCAACGGUCGGUGGCUCCUUUGAGCAGGAGCCAUUUAUUCCAUGUUUAAACCGAGUGCCUUCCGUGGCAAGGCCGUUUGUUCGCAUGUGCCUUGUCGCUUGGUAAUCUUGCUCAUGCUCAUUAUGACGGCUGGUGUAGGCGACGCGAGGCCCCGACGCCAUCAUUACUACCUUUGCGCCACACCAACUUCUGGCCUCCGUAGCCUGGGUCUUGGUGUGGCUCGUCGUGUUGUGGGCCCUGUGGACGGUUUGCGCUCUCAGGCCUAGGCUUGAUAGGCCAUUCGUGCUCUGCAGGCCAAGGGGCUCGUAGGUCAUCAGUGUGCCGCUGACCAAAGGGUUGCGCGGGUCAUGAGUGCUCUGUAAGUUGAGGGGAUGCACAGGUCAUGAGUGGGGGGCAAACCAGUUCUUUACUGUGACCUGGUGUCACGCAUAGUUAAUGCGACCGACAACUUAUGGUGGGUUAGUCUCGGGCCAGGCGAGGAACCCAUUGGAGUGGUUUCCUUUUGGUUCGCGCGGCCCCCUUUGCUGCUUCGCCACUCCUGACCCUAGACUCGGUGCCUUAGGGUUUAUCUGGGGGCAAGUGCUUUCUGGGUAGACGAUUCCCCUGCCUCCUCACUAACGGGUGGCCCCAGCCCCCUGGUAGCCAGUGGUCCUCCUCUGAUGCGCUCUCUCUGACCAAUGGGCCCCAGGGGCCCGAGGAUCUUUUCCCCGACAUAGCUAAUAACCGAAUUAUUAGCUAGACUUUUUAGAUAUCUUUAGCCAAUUUCUCCAACUAGUUUCGACAUUGUAUAUAAUGCUAGUAGUUCCACUCUUAAGGUGAAAGGGAGGCGAAAGAAAGUGGACAUCUUUUCCCCAUCUAGAAAUAGGCUACAAAUAUAUUAAAAUGAACAAAAUUUAAGGUAAAUUUAUAUAUUUUAUGACUUUUGCCGUCAGUUGAAGAAGCAAACUUGCAGUAAGAAUGCGUACCUGUUUAAGCUUCCAGCAGCAUGUAUAUUUUGGGGUUGCACGAGGUGGACCAAGCACGACCGCUCGCACGCAGCCAUGCAGAGAGGCCAGGCUCCAGGAACGCCAAUGCCGCAUGCAUGCACCGACAAUCCCUGAAACAAGGGCCCCAUGCUGCCAGAGUGCCAGCUCCACCCUCUUCUGUCGUCGUCCUCGUCCGUCCGUCCCUGGAGCCUGGACAGGCGCAGGCCGCCAAUGCCGCGGAGCCAGCGAGCGGCGGCCACCGUCCACCACCACCACCACCGGCCUGACGUACGAUCAGCGCGCGCAUGCAACCGCACGCUGUUACCGCCCCCCGCCCGGCGUCCAUAAAGCACCAGGGCGACGGGGGGUGUCGACGUCAGUGUGCACGCCCACCGCCGCCCGCUCGCUCUCCCUCAUGGACCCUCCUCUCCGGCUGCUGCCCGAUGGGCGCCUCAUGGCAGCGCUGUUGCUCCUGGCAGCCUGCAUGUCCGCCUGCAGCGUGCAGGCGGUGACGAGCGCGGAGGCCUCCUACAUCGCGCGCCGCCAGCUGCUGGCCAUGAAGGAGGCCGGCGCCGGCGAGGGCGGCGACCUGCCGGCGGACUUCGAGUUCGACGACCGCGUCGGCGCCGCCAACUUCCCCAACCCGCGCCUCCGCCGCGCGUACAUCGCGCUGCAGGCCUGGCGCCGCGCCUUCUACUCCGACCCCAAGGGCUACACCGCCAACUGGGUCGGCGAGGACGUGUGCAAGUACAACGGCGUCAUCUGCACGGAGGCGCUGGACGACCCCAAGGUCACGGUCGUGGCCGGGAUCGACCUCAACGGCGCCGACAUCGCGGGGUACCUGCCGCCCGAGCUCGGCCUGCUCACCGACCUCGCCUUCUUCCACAUCAACACCAACCGCUUCUGCGGCAUCAUCCCCAAGAGCAUGUCGCGGCUGUCGCUGCUGCACGAGUUCGACGUGAGCAACAACCGCUUCGUCGGCGUCUUCCCCUACGUCUGCCUCGAGAUGGUGUCGCUCAAGUACCUCGACCUCCGCUUCAACGACUUUGAGGGCGAGCUGCCGCCAGCGCUCUUCGACAAGGACCUGGACGCCAUCUUCGUCAACACCAACCGAUUCGUGGGCUAUAUCCCGGAGAACCUCGGCAACUCCACGGCGUCCGUCAUCGUUUUCGCCAACAACGCCUUCGUCGGAUGCAUCCCCAAGAGCAUCGGCCGCAUGGUGAAGACGCUGGACGAAAUCAUCUUCCUCAACAACAAACUCGACGGGUGCCUGCCGCUGGAGAUGGGCCUGCUGGUCAACACCACCGUCAUCGACGUCAGCGGGAACAUGCUCGUGGGCACCAUCCCCGAGCAGCUCUCCAACAUCGCCAAGCUGGAGCAGCUCGACGUGUCCCGGAACGUCUUCACCGGCAUCGUGCACGAGUCCAUCUGCGAGCUCCCGGCGCUCGUCAACUUCAGCUUCGCCUUCAACUUCUUCAACUCGGAGGCCGUCGUGUGCAUGCCGUCCGACAAGGCGCUCGUCAACUUCGACGACAGGGACAACUGCCUCGGCGCGCUGCGCCCGGCGCAGAAGACCGCGCUGCAGUGCGCUCCCGUGCUCGCGCGCCCCGUCGACUGCAGCAAGCACGUGUGCGCUGGCUACCCCACACCCGGAGGGCCACCAUCGUCGUCGGUGCCAGGGAAGCCGCCUUCGGUGCCAGGGAAGCCUGCUGCACCUGCGCCCAUGCCAACCCCGCAUACACCGCCGGAUGUGUCGCCAGAACCGCUUCCAGAACCUUCGCCGGUGCCUGCACCUGCACCCAUGCCGAUGCCGACCCCUCGUUCACCGCCGGCGGACGAAUACAUUCCAACGCCACCUGUACCCGCGAAGUCACCGCCAGCGACCUCGCCACCGGCAUCACGUGGUGCUCCACCGCCUCAGGCACAACCUCCAGCUGCCUCCUCCCCGCCUGCAACACCUGUGAAAUCGUCUCCUCCGCCAGCAGCAGUUGUUUUACCACCACCUGCGAAGACUCCUUCUCCUCCGGCCCCUGUUGCUUCACCACCACCAGAAGCACCAGUGAGCUCUCCACAGCCUCAAGUAAAAUCACCUCCUCCACCAGCACCGGUGGCCUCACCACCACCACCCAUGAAGUCGCCUCCCCCACCAGCGCGAGUGGCAUCACCUCCGCCGCUGAUGAAAUCACCUCCACCACCAGCACCAGUGGCCUCUCCACCCCAACCGUUGAAAUCUCCACCACCGCCAGUACUGGUGGCCUCUCCACCUCCAUCGGUGAAAUCUCCACCACCGCCGGUACCAGUGGCCUCUCCACCUCCACCGGUGAAAUCUCCACCACCGCUGGCUCCAGUGAGCUCACCUUCUCCUCCGGUGAAGUUGCCACCACUACCAGCUCCUGGGAAAUCAACCCCACCUCCAGAAGAGGAAAAACCAACACCACCUACUCCAGUAAAGUCAUCGCCGCCUCCAGAGAAGUCUCUACCUCCACCCACUCUGACUACCUCUCCACCACCACAAGAGAAGCCUACUCCUCCAUCAACUCCAUCCAAACCACCACCAUCUCCAGUUGAGACACUACCUCCUCCAUCAAAGUCUUCUCCACCGGAAGAACCAGUUAGCUCACCACCUCAAGCACCAAAGUCGUCAUCUCCACCAGCUCCUGUAAGCUCACCACCUCCACUGAAGUCUUCUCCGCCUCCAGUACCAGAGAGCUCACCACCACCGACACCUAAGUCAUCACCUCCACUGGCUCCAGUGAGCUCACCACCUCAAGUGGAGAAGACUUCUCCACCACCAGCACCAGUCAGCUCACCACCACCGACACCUAAGUCAUCACCUCCACUAGCUCCAGUGAGCUCACCACCUCAAGUAGAGAAGACUUCUCCACCACCAGCACCAGUCAGCUCACCACCACCAACACCUAAGUCAUCACCUCCACUAGCUCCAGUGAGCUCACCACCUCAAGUAGAGAAGACUUCUCCACCACCAGCACCAGUCAGCUCACCACCAUUGGAGCCUAAGCCAUCAUCUCCACCUAGUUCUGUGAGCUCUCCACCUACGACGGUGAAGUCUUCUCCACCACCAGCACCACUUAGCUCGCCACCAAUGACGCCUAAGUCAUCAAGCCCACCUGCACACGUGAGCUCGCCUCCUGAAGCAGAGAAGUCAUCCCCGCCACUGGCACCGAUCAGCUCACCGCCAUCAGAGCCCAAGUCACCGUCGUCACCUCCAAUGGUAGAGAAAACUUCUCCACCACCGGCAACGGUUAGCUCACCACCACCUACGCCUAAGUCGUCACCUCCACCUGCUCCUGUGAGCUCACCACCUCCAGUGGUGAAGUCUUCUCCACCACCGGCACCAGUCAGCUCACCACCACCGACACCUAAGCCAUUACCUCCACCUGCUCCUGUGAGCUCACCACCUCCGGUGGUGAAGUCUUCUCCACCGCCGACACCAGUCAGCUCACCACCACCGACACCUAAGCCAUUGCCUCCACCUGCUCCUGUGAGCUCACCACCUCCAGUGGUGAAAUCUUCUCCACCACCGGCACCAGUCAGCUUACCACCACCGACGCCUAAGCCAUCUCCACCACCUACUCCUGUGAGCUCACCACCUCCAGUAGUAAAGUCUUCUCCACCACCAACACUAGUCAGCUCACCACCACCAGCACCUAAGUCAUUACCUCCACCUACUCCCGUGAGCUCGCCGCCUCCAGAAGUGAAGUCCUCUCCUCCACCAACCCCAGUUAGCUCACCACCACCAGCGCCGAAGUCGUCACCUCCACCUACUCCAGUGAGCUCGCCACCUCCAGAACUGAAGUCCUCUCCACCACCAGCCCCAGUUAGCUCACCACCAUCAGCGCCAAAGUCGUCACCUCCACCUGCUCCUGUAAGCUUGCCAC
rnacentral:lncRNA from 1 species